GAUGAACGCUGGCGGCGUGCCUAAUACAUGCAAGUCGAGCGAACGGACGAGAAGCUUGCUUCUCUGAUGUUAGCGGCGGACGGGUGAGUAACACGUGGAUAACCUACCUAUAAGACUGGGAUAACUUCGGGAGACCGGAGCUAAUACCGGAUGAUAUUUUGAACCGCAUGGUUCAAAAGUGAAAGACGGUCUUGCUGUCACUUAUAGAUGGAUCCGCGCUGCAUUAGCUAGUUGGUAAGGUAACGGCUUACCAAGGCAACGAUGCAUAGCCGACCUGAGAGGGUGAUCGGCCACACUGGAACUGAGACACGGUCCAGACUCCUACGGGAGGCAGCAGUAGGGAAUCUUCCGCAAUGGGCGAAAGCCUGACAGAGCAACGCCGCGUGAGUGAUGAAGGUCUUCGGAUCGUAAAACUCUGUUAUUAGGGAAGAACAUAUGUGUAAGUAACUGUGCACAUCUUGACGGUACCUAAUCAGAAAGCCACGGCUAACUACGUG
rnacentral:rRNA from 1 species